rnacentral:rRNA from 1 species
UACGUAGGUGGCGAGCGUUGUCCGGAUUUACUGGGCGUAAAGAGCGCGCAGGCGGUCGUCCAAGUCGCGUGUGAAAGCCCCCGGCUCAACUGGGGAGGGUCACGCGAUACUGAUCGACUCGAAGGCAGGAGAGGGAAGCGGAAUUCCCGGUGUAGUGGUGAAAUGCGCAGAUAUCAGGAGGAACACCGGUGGCGAAGGCGGUUCUCUGGGCCUGUACUGACGCUGAGGAACGAAAGCGUGGGGAGCGAACAGG